UCAGAGUAGAGAAAAAAAGGAGGGAAAAUACACAGUAGGUUUUGGCGCGAAAUCCCAAGCGUCGGCUCCAGAGACCGAAACCCUAAAUACCGCCCAGAACAGUAGCCAGAAGGCGCAAAAGCAAUGCUGCGCAGCGCAAUCCCUCCGUCCUCCAUCCAUAGCUGAACAAACGCAACGCAACGCUUCUCUGCUCCGUUCGCUUUUCCGUCCGACUACUGAAUCCUCGCCAUUUUUUCCACUUAUCAUCAUCUGUCUUCAUUCAGCAGCCAUGGUUGUGCUCAGGUCUCGCGAAGUACUCCCUACUAAGCCCGCUUCAAAACCGCUAACAAAUCGGGCUACUCCUGAACCUGUCACUCCUGUCCAAUUCAGAGAACUCUCCACCCGCCAGUCUCCGCUUUCGCUUACCCCGAACCUCGAAACUCAUCAAUUGGAUUCCGAUUCUGGUUCCGCUUCCUUCCGGAGACGGAGCCUCCGUAUUGCUUCUAAAUCAGUUCCUGACAAUGGCUGUAUUCAAAAUGAGCCCCGCAGCAGGAAUAGUGCCGCGACCAUGCGGUCGGUUGAAGAGAAGGAAGGGAUCGAGGAGGGAAACCGUUGUCCUCUGCUGGAUCAAAUCAACAAUGUAGGCAGUGCGGAGGUUAAUGGGGUUGGAAUGGAUGUUGAUGGGAAUUUUUCGGGGAUUUUGAAUCUGAGGUCUGGGAAACGGGUUGUUAGGAGAAGAGUGGGAUAUAGUGGUUAUAAUUCGGUUACUGAGGCAGGAACGGAACGUAAAGGCAAGGGUUUGAUUUCUGACAAGAAUGGGAGUAGUAAGCGGACAAGUGAACUUGUUAUUGAAGGGAAAGGAAAGGGAAAAUUAGGCGAGGAAAAGAAAUUCGAUAAUGGGCAUGUUGUAGAGAAUUUAAAUGACAAUGCGAUUAGAGAAAUGAUAGAGACAGGGGAGGGGAGUGAAGUGGCUGGUGUUGAUGAGAAAUUGGAGGAAAAGCAAAAUCCUGAUGAGAGUGAUAAUUCAAGGGGAAGGAAGAGAUGUGCAAGAGAAGAAAUAAGGAAGAGAGGUGAAGAUGUUUUUGUCACUGUGAAAUUGGAGAAAACCCAAAACCAGAGCAGCAAUUCAAGGUUAAGGAGGAGGUAUAGCCAAGAAGAAAAAGGAAAAGAAAAAUUGAUUGAUGAUGCUUCAGUAUCAAAUGGUAAGGAUGCAUUGGAUUUGGAACUGGAAUUGAAGUCAAAGGUUAAGGAGUUUGUUGAUAGCAUGGGGGAUAAUGUGGCGUUGGAAAGUGAAAGGAACACUAGGAACGCAAACACAAGGAGAAAUGGAUCAAGAAUGGAGCAAUUUCGGGAUAUAGCCAGGAAAAAUGCUUCUCGAUUUGCUAAUUUUGAUCUUCAAGAGAAAGAGGAGGAACGUUUGUCUCCUCAGGUUGAUGUAGAAAUGGCAUAUGUGGAAGAGAAUCAGAAAAUUGAAGACUGGCCAGGUCCUUUCUCUACAGCUAUGAAGAUUAUUAGGGAUAGAACAAAUAAACUUAACUUGCAGCAGGGCCCCUCCAUUUUAGAAAAAGCAACAUCUGUGCCAAUAACUUGGAUUCCUAGAAACAGCCAGGGCUCUAAUCGCUCAAGAGCAUUUGUUGUUCCUUUGCUGCAAGAACUCUGCAUGAAAGUUCUUGUGGACAAUUGUGAGGCAGUCACUUCGCUUGAGCAUGUCCCAGAUGCAUUGAGGCACAGACUUUGCCAUUUGCUCUGUAGUUGUCGGAGAAUGAACAGUAAUUUUUUGGACCUUCUUGUACGUGGAUCCCCUACUGAGAUACGCAUUAAGGAUUGUUCAUGGCUGACAGAGGAGGAUUUCGUGAAAUGUUUUGAGGCUUGUGACACCAAUAACUUAACGGUUUUACAACUUGACCAAUGUGGUCGCUGCAUGCCGGAUUAUAUUUUGCCAGUUACCUUAGCUAGGUCAUCAAGAAGCUUGCCUGUGCUAAUUACUUUAUCCCUGGCUGGUGCAUGUCGGCUUUCAGACGUUGGGCUUAGUCUACUUGUUUCUUCUGCUCCUACACUAAGAUCUAUUAAUCUUGGUCAAUGCUCCCUCCUUUCUUCCACUAGUAUCAACACUAUAGCAGACUCAUUGGGAUCAUUUCUUCAGGAACUGUACAUUGAUGAUUGUCAAAGCCUUGAUCCAAUGCUUAUUUUGCCAGCACUGAAGAAGUUAGAACGUCUGGAGGUGUUAUCUCUAGCUGGAAUUCAAACUGUUUGUGAUGGUUUUGUGAGGGAAUUUGUUGUUGCUUGUGGUCAUAACAUGAAGGAGCUUGUUUUGAAGGAUUGUGUGAAAUUGACUGAUUCUUCCAUCAAAUUUAUAGCUGAAACCUGUCCUCGGCUAUGUGCACUUGACAUCGUUAACUUGAGGAAAUUGACAGAUUCUGCUUUGGGAUAUCUUGCGAAUGGUUGCCAAGAAAUUCAGACAUUAAAACUCUGCCGCAAUACAUUCAGCGAUGAAGCUGUUGCUGCAUUCGUAGAAACAUCUGGGAAGCUUUUGAAAGAACUUUCACUGAACAAUGUCAGGAAGGUGGGGCACAAUACAGCCUUAUCACUUGCCAGAGUUUCAAGAAACUUGCUGAGUUUGGAUUUAUCUUGGUGCCGGAACAUGACAAAUGAGGCAGUGGGUUUGAUUGUGGAUAGCUGUUCAUCAUUGAGGAUGCUUAAAAUUUUUGGAUGUGGGCAGAUCACAAACGUGUUCCUAGAUGGUCACUCGAAUCCAGAAUUAGAAAUCAUUGGUUUGAAGAUGUCUCCAGUACUGGAACAUAUUCGGCAACCGGAUUCACAAGAAUUUCCAUUGCGAUAUUCCUCAGUGUCUUCUUUGUAGAAUAAAGUAGUUGAUACGCAUAAUAUUGAUAGUCUCAUAGUUUUAUUUGCAAUGACUACUGAAGACUUCAAAUAUAUCAGUGCUUAACAUGUGCUAAAGACUAUCUCUCUCUCUUUUCCUGUGUGUGUGUAAACCUAGUGUAGCAUGCAUUUGCUUUUCUUACCAAAGAUUCUAGGGUUGUAUGUGGAAUGGAUCAUAUCUACAAGAAGUGGAAAUUGCAGCGUCACAAACAAAGAAAUUGGCAAACAAGCUAAGGCACCUAUUGGAAUAAGCAUCCAUGCCUUACGGUUGCAAAAUACAAGAUAAAGUGUAGCACUAAACGCUACCAUCAUUGAUGUUAUGGAGAGGAACAGAGUAACUAGACCGAAUGUCAACCGAUUGGGAAGAGUAUAAAGAAAAUCAGCUUCUGCAUAUCGUGCUGUGAGAAUGGACAAGAACAUUAAGAUGGCAGCUACUGAUGAAAAGAGUGUGAGUGCAUCUGCUACUGCAAAUAUUAUAAAUGCUUUUUGUUUUGAGAAUAUCGGAUAACCAUCAUCAUUAUUGUUUCCGCCAGGUACUGUGAUUGCUGCAGCAAAGAUUACUGUAGCAAUUAGUGCUGCUGCAACUGUGCAUGAGCUUGCUGCGUCUUUCAACCAUUUCUCACCUUCUUUCACCAAUCCCUUGUGUUCCUCUGUAAAUAACAUUGCUGGAGUUCUCCCUUCAGAGUUUUUAUCCUCUUUGCAGGCAAGUGGCACAAUCUUCUCCACUUCCUGUAUAAAUUAGUGUUAAACAUCAUUUAGGAGAUCAAUUUCCUUUUAGAAAUACAAAAUAAAAAAUCAGGUACCUUAAACCAAUGCAGCUCAUAUUGCAUUUGAAGAGCUGCACCAGAAAUGAGAUUAAGUCGGUGUUGAGGUGCCAAUUUUCCAGCCAAAUGCAAUAUAUUGUUGCCAAAAAUAUCUUCAGAGACUAAGAGUCGAUGCUUGUAAUCACUCAUUUGAUAUACAAGGUUGAAAACUUUUUCUUGGCGGUUCAUCACUGCAAUAUGAAAUAGGUUAUGAUUCUCAUGAUCUGAAAACCAAAUAGCAUGAGGAAAUAUGUCCAUUAUUUCUUCUACAAUUUCAUAAAUCCCCAACUCUGCUGCUAGAAGAAACGGUCUUCUAAGCAUCAUGGAAGCUUUCUCAUAAUCCAGACAUGCAAUUUCAGUGCACAGGCAUUUGGUGAGCUGAAGUGUUUGGUGAUGCAUCAAUUUUAUAUCUCGUAUAACCUUCAUGUGGGGAACUGCAAAAGGAUCAAGCUCACAAAUGGAAUGACUUCAAAUUGAAAAACAGCAAGCUUAAUUAACUAGCAGCGUCCCUCCUUCCUACCUAACAUUGCAAGGAUUCUCCAGGAGACCCUCACCCAUGUUUCAACAGCUGAAUGAAAAAAGGGAAAAGAUUAGGAUCCAAGUGAUCCCUGGUAACAACUUGCCAUGGGCCUACCUUAUUAUAUAGAAGAAAUUUUAAGCAUUCAAGGGAACAAGGCACUGAGACGAACCAUAAUUUCUUGCUCGCUGUUGCGAAGAUCCUGUUACAAGUUGAUUUUGCGGGUUCUCCACAUCUACAGCACUGGGUUGGCGUCUGGAAUUUAACUUCAUUGGAGCACCUUCAGUUCAAGGCAGCGGUUAAGAAUCUUGAACAACAACACUUGUCAAACUCUACUGCUUUUAUGAUGUCUGAGAUACUCACAGCAAUAUAUCAAGCGAGUCCAGAAAUUGUGUUUUAUACCACUAGGAAACGCCGAAGUUUUUUAUGCCACUGCACUCAAAAGCGAUUCACCACCAUAAUAUUCCACUGUAGCUAAGGGAGGGUGACUUUCAACCAGUUUCAAAGCCAUGUCUGCAGAAAUAUUUAACAUUAAUGAAAAGAUUGACUCGCAGAGCAAGUAUUUUGUAGGGAAAGACUUAACAACAUCUAGUUACCGUAGAACCCAGCAAGAACAAGAAGAUUCAUAAAGAAAACGCCAGGCUUAUCAGCAGAAUAUUCAGUUGCCUGCAAAUAGUCUCCGCUGACUUCUAAUAAAUAGGAAAUCAUCUCCUUUUGGGCAUAGCGAGCUGCCUCAAGCAGAGGGACCCGCCCAUCAUGGUUUGCAAUCUGAGGCAGAUCUGGUUGUUUGGUCACUAUCAUUAUGGCCGCUCUGGUGUUGCCGACAAUUGCAGCAAUAGAGAGGACAGUGUCACCACUGGAAUUUUGCAAACCCAACUGGUGUCUCGACAUCUUGUUCAACAAAUACAUGACAAUGUGAUUGGCCAUUCCAGUCCCAACAGCUAUGUGAAGAGCAGUGUCCAAAUCUACAGUGAUCCUAGCCUCUAAGGCAAGUGGAUCACCAUCGCAGAUGCUUUUGACGGUCGCCAGAUCGCCUUUGAGAACAGCUUUAUAUAGUGGCCGGUAUGUGGUAAGAUUUCUCAUGUUCUCUGCAACAACAGACAGAAUACACAAAGAUCAAGUAAUUCUGACUGAAAACAACUUUUUUUUAAAAAAAAAAAAAAAAAGAGGAAGAACUAUUAAUUAC